rnacentral:rRNA from 1 species
GACGGAGGGUGCAAGCGAUGUUCGGAAUCACUGGGCGUAAAGCGCGUGUAGGCGGUUUGGUGAGUCGAGUGUGAAAGCCCAAGGCUCAACCUUGGAAGUGCACUCGAAACUGUCAGGCUUGAGUACGGGAGAGGGAAGUGGAAUUCCUGGUGUAGAGGUGAAAUUCGUAGAUAUCAGGAGGAAAACCGGUGGCGAAGGCGGCUUCCUGGACCGCUACUGACGCUGAGACGCGACAGCGUGGGGAGCAAACAGG